rnacentral:rRNA from 1 species
UAAUAGUUAAUUAUUUUUUAAUUUUAUUAAAAUUAAUUUUAUUUUUAUUAUUUUAUAAGAAAAAUUUAUUUUUAUUAUAGUUUAUUAGUAAAGUGAUUGAAUUUUUUUUUAUAUUUUAUAAGAAAAAUUUAUUUUUUGUACCUUGUGAAUCAGGGUUAAUUAAUUUUAUAAUUAAUAUUAAUUUUUCUCGAAUUAAGAAGUUUUAAUUAAAUAUUAGUUUAAUUUUUUCAUAAAUUUUUAUAAUUUUUAAUUAGAAAUGAAAUGUUAUUCGUUUUUUAUUAUAUCUAGUUUUUUAAGAAAAAAAUUCAAUUUUAUUAUUAUUAAUUUAUUAAUUAAUUUUUAGUUAAUAAUUUUUAGUAUUUAAUUUAUAAAGGGUUGAGCUUUUAUAUAAAUUAUUAAAAAUUAAAUUUUUAUAAUUUUUGUAUGAUUUAAAUUGUUAAUCAUUUUAAUAAUUUAAUAAUUAGUUUUAUUUAGUUAUAAUAUUUAUAUAUUUUUUAAUUUUUUUAUUAAAAAAAAAAGUUUAAUUUUAUUUCUUUUUAUAUAAUGAUUAAAUUAGUAGAUUUUGUGUUUAUUAAAAAUUUAAAUAUAGGUAGUAAAAAGGAAUUCGGCAAAUGUAUUUUUCGCCUGUUUAUUAAAAACAUCUCUUUUUGAUAAUAAUUUAAAGUUUAAUCUGCUCAAUGAAAAUUAAAUUGCCGCAGUAUUUUGACUGUGCAAAGGUAGCAUAAUAAUUAGUUUUUUAAUUGGAAACUGGAAUGAAUGAUUGGACGAAAAAAUUUCUGUCUUUUUAUUAUUUUUAUUGAAUUUUACUUUUAAGUUAAAAGGCUUAAAUUUUUUUAAAAGACGAGAAGACCCUAUAGAGUUUAAUUUUUAAUUUAUUUAUUAUUAUUAGAAUUUAAUUUAAUAAUUAAUUUAAUAAUUUGGUUGGGGUGACUAGUUGAUAAAUUUAACUCUUUUAAUUUAAAAUCAAUUAUUUUUGAUUAUAUAAUCUAUAUUUUUAAUUUUAAAAUAAAUUACCUUAGGGAUAACAGCGUAAUUUUUCUUUAAAGUUCUUAUUAAAAGAAGAGUUUGCGACCUCGAUGUUGGAUUAAAAUUUAUUUUAGGUGUAGAAGCUUAAAUUUUAAGUCUGUUCGACUUUUAAAAUUUUACAUGAUCUGAGUUUAAACCGGUGUAAGCCAGGUUGGUUUCUAUCUUUAAUUUUUUAGUAUAUUUUAGUACGAAAGGACCAAAUAUAUAAUAUAAUAUUUUUUUUUGAAUAUUAUU